UUCGGUAAUGAAAAAUCAAUAGACUGAGAUACGUUUGACUUGCCGCUAUUAAAAUAUGGUUGGAACACGUGGAGUCAGUUUGAGAAGAAAUAUUUAAUACAGAAAGCGUAGUUAAAAUACAAUGGACACUGCAUGUGACAAGCCAGAAGUGGAAAAUGAAAAUGUAAACAGCAAUGCAAAAGAAACACAGUGUUUGGAAACACAUGAGCAUUUAUCUAUGCAGAGCACAGAAAUGACUACAAACUUUCUUACAACUGCGAACACCAGCGAUGAUAAAAAUGCCAUUGAACUCACAGGCUUGUUUCCUGAUGUUUUAAUUGAAGAGGAAGACCGAGAGAAAGAUAAAGAAGGAAAUCAGAUAGAGUAUCUGGAUGAAAUAUGCCAUGAUGGCAUAGUGCAUUCUGAGAUCUUCCAAACAGUGAUCGCCGUACCAACAGAAAUUGAACCCUUACCGAUUGACCGGAAAGUGCUUGAAGAAAAAUCAGUCCUGGAAGAAGCUGUUGGAAAUCCUGUUGGUACAACAUUAAAAUCUA